rnacentral:rRNA from 1 species
UAGGGAAUCUUCCACAAUGGGCGCAAGCCUGAUGGAGCAACACCGCGUGAGUGAAGAAGGGUUUCGGCUCGUAAAGCUCUGUUGUUGGAGAAGAACGUGCGUGAGAGUAACUGUUCACGCAGUGACGGUAUCCAACCAGAAAGUCACGGCUAACUACGUGCCAG